CUAAAGUGUAGAUACGUUUCGCGAGCGGGAUAAUAUUUCUUGAAAAAAGUAAUUAUUAUAACAAUAAAUCAAAGUCAUUAGCUUUUAAAUAUUUAAAUUUGUUCGAUAAUGAUAGAAUUAAUUAAUAAUAACGAUGUAUCAACGUGUUUUUUGUAAUUAAUUACUGGUGAAUUUGAUUGGCGUAUGGCGUGGAGACAAAACAAUAGCUGCAGCUUAAAUAAUUGAUCGUGAAAUAAAACUGCGCAGUAAUUUGUUGGUCAAUAAUUUUCAAACCAUGUUGUUUACAAGUUCUCUGUAAGGCGGCAUUGUUAACGAUUCCCGCCAUUUCGUCAUUCGUCACGCAAUUGUCGUAUCAACGCCACGUGUCUCUCGAUUUUCUUUUAUUACUCUGAAAGUACAAAUUGUUUGAACUUAAUUUCAACAUUAUUUGUAUUAAUUGAUGUGUUUAAUACUUCCAAUGGUACUUCAUGAAACCAUCAUCCACUAUUACAACAUAAAAUUCAAGAAAGCGGUAAUCAAGAAGCAUCUGGAAAAUUCGAUGAACAUCUUCCAUCGCAGUCACUCAUCUUUGUGUUUACCAUGGUAUUCGAGUCUUAAUUUUCUACGAAUCAGAAUUCUGAGAUAUUUCAUCAAGCAAAAACUUGGUCAGUAUGCAGUCCAUAAAGUGAAUAAUUAAAAGCAGGAGAUUAGUAUAAAGCCAAUCAACACCAUUACUUUAAAAAAAAAAAAAAACAAAAAACACCUGGAAGAUUUCUCUUUCAUUGAAAAAAAAUCGGUGGAAAAAAAAUCUAAAGUUUUUUCCCUUUUAAUGCGGGUUUUUACCCAUACAAAUUGAACGAUUCAAUGAUUAUCCCAACAGUGCACAAACGAAACACUAGUGUAAGCUCGGGAAUGUUGCCAAAUGGGUCAGAGCACGAAGCUUGAGAGAUUGGUGAGAGAGGUGAAGAGAAGAAUAAAGGGUUUGAGGGACAAGAAGAGCUUGCGGUGGUAAGAGACGAUGAGAACUACUCCGUGGGCCAAAGGUGGGGAGGAGAGGGGUUAGCUCGGUCGAGGGUUGCCAAGAGUCUUGGUGAGGGGAGCAAGAGCACGAGGGUGAAGGCAAUACAGGGCCAAGAGUGUUUGAUCAAUACUUGCUGUCACCUACGUUGGCACCGUACUUCAAGCCGCAUGAUUAUGUGGUCUAAGGAUUAUCUUCUUCAUGUCUAGUUAUAUUACUUGAAGGAAGUUGGGAUGUUAAUUUUUAAAAAAAUUCUACAACAAUUUCAAUGUCUAUACCUAGAUAGAUUAAUUAGCCUGGAAUCGAUAUCUUAUCAUGAUGAAAUUAUGAAUUUAAAAAAUCGACCCCAUGACUUCCUAAUGGCAAGUUAAUAAAAUAGAAAUAUGAAAAGGAGGAAUCAAGUGCUGUAAGAAACAAAAUAAGAGUGGCUGUACAUACAUGAAACACGGGAGAAUGAUGUAAAAUAUAGGUAUACUCAAAAAUGCUUGUGGCGAUUGCGCAGAAUAUCUACAUAGCUUGGUAGCAUGUCCGUACUAUCGUAUACAUAUAGACGUUAUUGGUGGACGUGCAAGGAUUCCGCGGGAGUCACUUGCAAACUUGUCAGUUAACAGUUGGUUACUUUAUGACCAAGUUCUCUCAUCAAGAUUGCAUAAAAUCAUCACAGUAUGGUCAAAAUGAAGCUUAAGACUACUACGACACCUCUACAUUACCAUUUGUAAUGUAAAAUAUAUCUAAAGGAUAAUUUAUGAGAAAAUGAUUAAUGAAGUCUAUUUAAUACCAAUUGAGAUCAUGUUAACAAAUUUUUAACUCUAAAUAAUAUGAAUAUUAAACAAAAAGCAUUAGAUAUAGUUAAAAUAUAAUAAAAGCGAGAAGUUAAGUCUGUGUAUUUACAAGAACAAAAUUACGUAACUCAUCACGACCCACAGAUAAGAAAGAGUGUUAUCUGAAACAUGCGACUAUUGAAGCAAUCACGCGGCUCUAAUAUACACAGACAAUCAAGUAACAACAUCGAGAUCUCUCUCGUGUGCUUUGUCUUUGAACUUUUAAUUUUUCCUUCAGUUUGAAUUUUUUACAUUUUUUUUUUUCCUUGUUUUCCUUUGCCAUUUACACAAUCAUUAAAAUUCUGUUGAACACGAUAUUGUGUUGAAGGACAUUUUUAUUUUAUUUUCACGUAAUUUUUAACAAUUCAGUUAUUCUAUGUUUGCUGGUCACAGACUAAGUUACAUUUAAAUAAAAAAAAAUCUGUCUCUCAUUUAAUCAAUGAUAAUAUAAAAAUAGUUGUGAUAAUAGAGAUAAAAUCUUGACAUUGUUUUUCAAUAAAAAAAAAAAAAUCAAUAAAAUAUAAAUUUACGAACUUGUAUCACAGCUAAGAGAACCUCUUAUCUUGUGCGAUAACACACUAAUUUAGAAUCAACUUACUUGUAUGUCUGGAAGAAA